rnacentral:hammerhead_ribozyme from 1 species
AUGUACCUGACGAGUCCCAAAUAGGACGAAAAGCGCAUGUGGAUACAU